CAGGCCUAACACAUCGCAAGUCGAGGGGCAGCAGGGAGUAGCAAUACUCCGCUGGCGACCGGCGCACGGGUGCGUAACGCGUGAGCAACAUGCCCGUAUGAGGGGGAUAGUCAUUGGAAACGAUGCGUAAUACCCCGUAACAACAGAGGCGGCAUCGCCUUUGUUUGAAAGAUUUAUCGCAUACGGAUUGGCUCGCGUGACAUUAGCUAGUUGGCGGGGUAACGGCCCACCAAGGCGACGAUGUCUAGGGGAACUGAGAGGUUGGUCCCCCACACUGGAACUGAGACACGGUCCAGACUCCUACGGGAGGCAGCAGUGAGGAAUAUUGGUCAAUGGGCGGAAGCCUGAACCAGCCAUGCCGCGUGAAGGACUAAGGCCCUAUGGGUCGUAAACUUCUUUUGACGGGGAGCAAUAAGGGCGUCGCGCACGUCCGAUGAGAGUACUCGUCGAAUAAGCAUCGGCUAACUCCGUGCCAGCAGCCGCGGUAAUACGGAGGAUGCAAGCGUUAUCCGGAUUUAUUGGGUUUAAAGGGUGCGUAGGCUGACGUGUAAGUCAGAGGUGAAAUCUCCGGGCUCAACCUGGGAACUGCCUUUGAUACUGCAUGUCUGGAGUUCGGAUGCCGUGGGAGGAAUGGGCAGUGUAGCGGUGAAAUGCAUAGAUAUUGCCCAGAACACCGAUUGCGAAGGCAUCUCACGAAUCCGACACUGACGCUGAGGCACGAAAGCGUGGGGAUCAAACAGGAUUAGAUACCCUGGUAGUCCACGCAGUAAACGAUGAUAACUAACCGUCGGCGAUAGACAGUCGGUGCCAAGCGAAAGCGAUAAGUUAUCCACCUGGGGAGUACGUUCGCAAGAAUGAAACUCAAAGGAAUUGACGGGGGCCCGCACAAGCGGAGGAACACGUGGUUUAAUUCGAUGAUACGCGAGGAACCUUACCCGGGCUCGAACGGUGCAGGAAGGAUCAAGAGAUUGUGACGCCCUUCGGGGCCUGCAUCGAGGUGCUGCAUGGUUGUCGUCAGCUCGUGCCGUGAGGUGUCGGCUCAAGUGCCAUAACGAGCGCAACCCUUGCUUCCAGUUACCAGCAUGUUAUGAUGGGGACUCUGGAAGGACUGCCACCGCGAGGUGAGAGGAAGGGGGGGAUGACGUCAAAUCAGCACGGCCCUUACGUCCGGGGCGACACACGUGCUACAAUGGCCGGCACAGAGGGGCACUACCUGCGACAGGAUGGGAAUCUCGAAAAGCCGUCUCAGUCCGGAUCGGAGUCUGCAACCCGACUCCGUGAAGCUGGAUUCGCUAGUAAUCGCGCAUCAGCCAUGGCGCGGUGAAUACGUUCCCGG
rnacentral:rRNA from 1 species